GCAAACGAUGAAAGUUGGAGGCCUUCUCAAACAACAACCGAUCACUGUUCUCAUCGACACGGGCAGCACUAAUAACUUCCUAAACAGUAAGGUUGCUGUCCAUAUGAACUUACCUAUUGAGAAUUGCAGUAGGUUUGUCGUUAAGGUCGCCAACGGACGGAUUUUGAAGGGUGAACAUAGGUGCCCGCAGGUGAAACUGUUGCUGCAGGA
rnacentral:lncRNA from 1 species